GCUAUCUCUUACCCAUGUCUUUUAAGUACCUUACGUUUCCUCGGCGGGUCCGCCCGCCGAUUGGACAAUUUAAACCAUUUGCAGUUGCAAUCAGCGUCUGAAAAAACUUAAUAGUUACAACUUUCAACAACGGAUCUCUUGGUUCUGGCAUCGAUGAAGAACGCAGCGAAAUGCGAUAAGUAGUGUGAAUUGCAGAAUUCAGUGAAUCAUCGAAUCUUUGAACGCACAUUGCGCCCCUUGGUAUUCCAUGGGGCAUGCCUGUUCGAGCGUCAUUUGUACCUUCAAGCUCUGCUUGGUGUUGGGUGUUUGUCUCGCCUCUGCGUGUAGACUCGCCUCAAAACAAUUGGCAGCCGGCGUAUUGAUUUCGGAGCGCAGUACAUCUCGCGCUUUGCACUCAUAACGACGACGUCCAAAAGUACAUUUUUACACUCUUGACCUCGGAUCAGGUAGGGAUACCCGCUGAACUUAAGCAUAUCAA
rnacentral:rRNA from 1 species